CCUACGGGUGGCAGCAGUGAGGAAUAUUGGUCAAUGGGCGCAAGCCUGAACCAGCCAAGUAGCGUGAAGGAUGACUGUCCUACGGAUUGUAAACUUCUUUUGUAAAGGAAUAAAGUGAGGCACGUGUGCCUGUUUGUAUGUACUUUAUGAAUAAGGAUCGGCUAACUCCGUGCCAGCAGCCGCGGUAAUACGGAGGAUCCGAGCGUUAUCCGGAUUUAUUGGGUUUAAAGGGAGCGUAGAUGGGUUGUUAAGUCAGGUGUGAAAGGUUGCGGCUCAACCGCAAAAUUGCAAUUGAUACUGGCAGUCUUGAGAAGAGGUGAGGUAGGCGGAAUUCGUGGUGUAGCGGUGAAAUGCUUAGAUAUUACGAAGAACUCCGAUUGCGAAGGCAGCUUAC
rnacentral:rRNA from 1 species